UGGGGAAUAUUGGACAAUGGGCGAAAGCCUGGUCCAGCCAUGCCGCGUGUGUGAAGAAGGUCUUCGGAUUGUAAAGCACUUUAAGUUGGGAGGAAGGGCAUUAACCUAAUACGUUAGUGUUUUGACGUUACCGACAGAAUAAGCACCGGCUAACUCUGUGCCAGCAGCCGCGGUAAUACAGAGGGUGCAAGCGUUAAUCGGAAUUACUGGGCGUAAAGCGCGCGUAGGUGGUUUGUUAAGUUGGAUGUGAAAUCCCCGGGCUCAACCUGGGAACUGCAUUCAAAACUGACUGACUAGAGUAUGGUAGAGGGUGGUGGAAUUUCCUGUGUAGCGGUGAAAUGCGUAGAUAUAGGAAGGAACACCAGUGGCGAAGGCGACCACCUGGACUAAUACUGACACUGAGGUGCGAAAGCGUGGGGAGCAAACA
rnacentral:rRNA from 1 species